UGGGAAGUAUUGCGCAAUGGCGAAAGCCAUGACGCAGCGACGCCGCGUGGGGGAUGACGGCCUUCGGGUUGUAAACCUCUUUCAGCAGGGACGAAGCGCAAGUGACGGUACCUGCAGAAGAAGCACCGGCCAACUACGUGCCAGCAGCCGCGGUAAUACGUAGGGUGCAAGCGUUGUCCGGAAUUAUUGGGCGUAAAGAGCUCGUAGGCGGUCUGUCACGUCGGCUGUGAAAUCCCGAGGCUCAACCUCGGGUCUGCAGUCGAUACGGGCAAACUAGAGUAUUGCAGGGAGACUGGAAUUCCUGGUGUAGCGGUGAAAUGCGCAGAUAUCAGGAGGAACACCGGUUGGCGAAGGCGGGUCUCUGGGCAAUAACUGACGCUGAGGAGCGAAAAGCGUGGGGAGCGAACA
rnacentral:rRNA from 1 species